rnacentral:misc_RNA from 1 species
UUUUUUAUUCUCUUCCACAGUUGUUCGCAUGAGCGAAACCUGUUCAUUGUGGAUAUGAAUCUUUCUUUGCUGGAAAUUAGGAGGGAUUGUAUCCACAGCUCCAAAGUUCACCAUGUCCAAGGCUCCUACACUCAAGACCAAAGGGAUAUUCUUCUCUAAGAUGGCAUCAAAGCGGGAACUAUCACAAGCCAUAAUACCUCCAACUACAUAAUCUNCCUCCAACUACAUAAUCUGCAACCUCUGUUGUAGUGAUGUCUAAAACACCCUUUAUGAAUCCCUCUCUAACAAGAGACUCCAUGGCCCUGCCCCCAACCCCAGUGGCGUGGAAAACCAAGGUCUCAUAUCCUUCUCUCACCAAUCUUUCUUUGACAGCAUUUACACAGGGGGUUGUAACUCCAAACAUAGUUAUACCAACAGUUAAUUUCUCACUCUCACCAAGAGAACCUCCAGCCCUCUCAAGCCUUCCAAUGACCAUUCCAGCAAAAGCAGCUCCAGCAUUAGAUAACACAACUCUACUUACACUAUUAAUCCCACACACAUCCACUAUGGAUGGAAACAAUAUCAAAUCUGAGGUGCCAACAUAAGGUUCAGUUUGACCACUAGCUACAGUAGACACAAUAAUCUUAGGCAUCCCAAGUGGAAGCAAUCUAAAAGCAGAUGAUAAUAAAGAUGUUCCUCC